rnacentral:rRNA from 1 species
GAUGAACGCUAGCGGGAGGCUUAACACAUGCAAGUCGAGGGGCAUCACGAGAUAGCAAUAUUUUGGUGGCGACCGGCGCACGGGUGAGUAACACGUAUGCAACCUACCCUGUACAGGGGGAUAGCCCGGAGAAAUUCGGAUUAAUACCCCAUAAAGAUAUUUUGAGGCAUCUUUAAAUAUUUAAAGCUUCGGCGGUACGGGAUGGGCAUGCGCAACAUUAGCUAGUUGGUAGGGUAACGGCCUACCAAGGCUACGAUGUUUAGGGGACCUGAGAGGGUGAUCCCCCACACUGGUACUGAGACACGGACCAGACUCCUACGGGUGGCUG